AGAGUUUGAUCAUGGCUCAGAUUGAACGCUGGCGGCAGGCCUAACACAUGCAAGUCGAACGGUAACAGGAAGCAGCUUGCUGCUUUGCUGACGAGUGGCGGACGGGUGAGUAAUGUCUGGGAAACUGCCUGAUGGAGGGGGAUAACUACUGGAAACGGUGGCUAAUACCGCAUAACGUCGCAAGACCAAAGAGGGGGACCUUCGGGCCUCUUGCCAUCAGAUGUGCCCAGAUGGGAUUAGCUUGUUGGUGAGGUAACGGCUCACCAAGGCGACGAUCCCUAGCUGGUCUGAGAGGAUGACCAGCCACACUGGAACUGAGACACGGUCCAGACUCCUACGGGAGGCAGCAGUGGGGAAUAUUGCACAAUGGGCGCAAGCCUGAUGCAGCCAUGCCGCGUGUAUGAAGAAGGCCUUCGGGUUGUAAAGUACUUUCAGCGGGGAGGAAGGUGUUGUGGUUAAUAACCACAGCAAUUGACGUUACCCGCAGAAGAAGCACCGGCUAACUCCGUGCCAGCAGCCGCGGUAAUACGGAGGGUGCAAGCGUUAAUCGGAAUUACUGGGCGUAAAGCGCACGCAGGCGGUCUGUCAAGUCGGAUGUGAAAUCCCCGGGCUCAACCUGGGAACUGCAUUCGAAACUGGCAGGCUUGAGUCUUGUAGAGGGGGGUAGAAUUCCAGGUGUAGCGGUGAAAUGCGUAGAGAUCUGGAGGAAUACCGGUGGCGAAGGCGGCCCCCUGGACAAAGACUGACGCUCAGGUGCGAAAGCGUGGGGAGCAAACAGGAUUAGAUACCCUGGUAGUCCACGCCGUAAACGAUGUCUACUUGGAGGUUGUGCCCUUGAGGCGUGGCUUCCGGAGCUAACGCGUUAAGUAGACCGCCUGGGGAGUACGGCCGCAAGGUUAAAACUCAAAUGAAUUGACGGGGGCCCGCACAAGCGGUGGAGCAUGUGGUUUAAUUCGAUGCAACGCGAAGAACCUUACCUGGUCUUGACAUCCACAGAACUUUCCAGAGAUGGACUGGUGCCUUCGGGAACUGUGAGACAGGUGCUGCAUGGCUGUCGUCAGCUCGUGUUGUGAAAUGUUGGGUUAAGUCCCGCAACGAGCGCAACCCUUAUCCUUUGUUGCCAGCGGUCCGGCCGGGAACUCAAAGGAGACUGCCAGUGAUAAACUGGAGGAAGGUGGGGAUGACGUCAAGUCAUCAUGGCCCUUACGACCAGGGCUACACACGUGCUACAAUGGCGCAUACAAAGAGAAGCGACCUCGCGAGAGCAAGCGGACCUCAUAAAGUGCGUCGUAGUCCGGAUUGGAGUCUGCAACUCGACUCCAUGAAGUCGGAAUCGCUAGUAAUCGUGGAUCAGAAUGCCACGGUGAAUACGUUCCCGGGCCUUGUACACACCGCCCGUCACACCAUGGGAGUGGGUUGCAAAAGAAGUAGGUAGCUUAACCUUCGGGAGGGCGCUUACCACUUUGUGAUUCAUGACUGGGGUGAAGUCGUAACAAGGUAACCGUAGGGGAACCUGCGGUUGGAUCACCUCCUU
rnacentral:rRNA from 1 species